GUUGACACUAGUUGUGGAUGAUCGGAGGAGAGUAGCAGCUAACGUUAGCAGCAGCCAACUCGGACGACAUUCGCUGCUCAAGUAUGCUCUAAAUGCACUCGGGCGGGAGAUGCAGACACAGCCUACAACGAUAAUGGCUGUUUUCUCUUCUUGUUCCUGUGAAUAAAAAUUAACUGUACUUCCGGGGAACGACGCCGGACGUGACGUAGUGGCAGCGAAGGUGUCGCCACAGCAAGCACUCCAGCUCAAUCUAUCUCGAUCACCCUCAGAUCACCGUCCUCCUCAUGUCCUCCUUCACCACACCCACAAACCUCAUUGGUUGUAUUCUAAAUAUUAAAACAAAAACCCUCAAUAGCCAGCAGAAAAUAAUAACUUUAUUGCCCAAAAUCAAUCUUACAUUUCAAGGUGCGUGAAAGAAACAAACAAAAUACUUCAUCAUUUUAUUGUUGUUGGGUUGUAUUAGCUGCAAGCGGGACACAGUGACAUGACACAACUUUGUAAUCAUACAAAGACAUGAUACAGGUUUAUCUCUCAAAUCAAAAGCAACAGUUGAUAGACGCUCUGAUAAUAAUAUCAUAUUCCAACCAGACCAAACAUAUGAGCACGAUUACAAAGGACAGCUGCUUAGAGUGUUUUCUUGAGCAUGUUACAGGUAAACAUUAGCAAAUAUAGCUUGUGUUUCUUUUACUUUUUCAUCUCCAGGAUACCGCAUCCUGGACCUCUCUUCUUUGCACUGCAGAUGUUGCAAAACUGUAAGCUGGGAAUCUGGAAAGGAGAAACACAGAUACAGUGAUGGCCAAACAUGUAGUUAAUGAACACAGCACAGAACUAGUUGUUUGAUGAGAACCUGUUUGGACAAUGGAAUAUAUACUGUACAUUUUUAAUACAUGUGACUUUCCUCUUUUGAUAUAUUAGAUCCAAACUUGCUUUUAUUGCUCUCAUUAUCAUCUUGUUUGCUCUGUACGUUUUGUGCUUAUUGGAUUCUCUACACUGUUUAAGUACUGAUAGAUGGCCAUCGUAAAUUCAUUUAGACAAACUACACAGGCCAAACCACUCAUUUCCAUCCACACUGUUGUUUUUUAUCUGUCAGGUUUUAUCUACACAAGUUAACAAUAUUCAAAGUGCAAUGAGUGGUCAGCGAGUGGCAGUAGUGUCACAGUGCUUCUAUGACACACAAACAGGAGGCACAAGGAAGGGGCUGCACUCAGGAAAUAAAUCAGAAAACCUUCAAAACGUUGAGUGAGUCCACAUUUUGUCAUCACAGUCACAAAAAUGUUUAAUUAUUAUAGUGGUCCGAUGGUGUGUUGUGUUUUAUUAAGUCAAAAAGGUUUGCUUUCUGCCUGUUUUAACUGGAGCUGGUCAUGUGACUGAAUUCGCCUUUCAGCCUACUGAAAAUCAAUGUUUAUUAAUCAUACAAAUUCACAGAACACCACCAAAGCACUUCUAAGUUAGUCCACAACCAAACACCCUGAAGGUUUAAUUGAAAUAUGAUCCUCCGUUCUGGAGUGAUAAAACCUGAAUAAUAAUUCAAAUAAAAUAAAUAAAUGUCAUUGCAGAUUUCGUCCAGGGGGUGUCAGUAGAAUACAGGCAUAGUUUUGGACUAGCUUAAUGUGGCCACAGAGCAACUUGGCAGUCCUUCAUGAAGUAUCUGAGAAAGGUUCUUACCGUUCCUGUGGAUGGUAAACACUCCUUGUGGAACAUGUGUCUGCAGUGAAACACCACCACGCUGAAAGGUUUUGCCAUGUCUGGAACACAAGUGACACAAAUACGUUUAUAAACCCAGCAGUUACAGUGAGGUAUUUCAAACAGACACCAACCAGUGGGGAGGAUUGCAGCAUGGCAGGAUUCACAAAUGUUCUCCUCUGAAAAUCAAACCAGAGUUUAAGUUACUGAAACACGUAUGUACUGUACGAAUGACACACGAACACACCGUCGACUCUGACUCCUUUCAUUUGUGUUCGGUGCAUCUUCUGAAGGAGAGACAACGAGUCGGCCACCAGGAUCUUCUUACAGCCUUCUCUCAGUAGGAUCUUUGAAGACAAAAAAGUAACAGAAAAAUACUGAACAUACAAACAAUUUGGGAGUUCAAAUACAGCCAGUCAUACUAGUUUCAUUUCAAAAUAAUUUUAAAUCACUUGUGAAGGACAUGUUUCAUGGCAUACAGUGUAUUUGUCAGUCAAUAUCCCAAUAUGUUGAGGCUGGGACUAAAUUUCAAUAAAUUAAUUACACAAAUCACACAGAUUAAUCACAUAUCAAAUCUAAUCUACUACACUCUCCUUCUCAGGGAACAUUUUGCAGUCAUCAUUUCCAGGUGCACCUCAUCAUAUUAUCACAUGCGAUGCCAUCACCAAAACAUCUAUGAUGAAGGAGAGUGAAUGUGACUCGCUCUCAUGAAUGGAAAAAUUGAGGCUUGGAUUUGUUGCACCGGCUAAAUGGUCCCCACAAAAGCAUAAUGUGCUCAAAAGCAGGUGCUUUGCCAAGAACAGAAAUAUAUUUGCUGUCUGCAGGGGUCAGGACCUUAUACAAGUCAUGUUUUUGUUGCCUGUGACAUAAGUU